UGGCUUUCAAACUUCAGGAUAAACAGAAUCUUCCGGAGGGCUCGUUAAAACAUGGACGACUGGGACCUGCCCAUCCAUGGUUGUGCCGGGAACUGUUUACAACUCACUGGCCGUGGAGAAGAACAGUCCUGACCCGUGGCUCCUGCCGGUUUCUGUGGUGUCAGUACUCCCACCAACGGCCGAGUGCAAGCUUCCAACGGUUGCUGAACCCCGAGUUGGCAGAUGUGCACCAUCUGCCCUUAGAGCUGGUAAGAGCCAGCUCCAGGUCACCACGGGCCCAGCCGCUGCCCGGAGUCUGAGGCCGGAGAAUAGGUAUUUCUGACAAGUUUCCAAGUAACGCUGAUGAUGCCGGCUGGGAUCCCUGUCCGCUGCUGCCCUUUGCCAAUGGGUCCUUUAGUUCUAGUAGGACCCACUGAGCACCUGCUGAGUGCCGACCCUCAGGCACAUCUUUCCUGGGAGCUGCCCCAGCACAGCAGAGGAAGGAUCUGCAGAGACGCUGCAAUGUGACAAGACACCCCCAGGGGGCAGGAUGGAGCCAUUCCCCCACAAGUGCUAACUGAGGUCCAUCCAAAAUGUACCAUCUAAGCAAAACCAGGGUGUGCUUGCUGUGAAAACAAAGCUUUAGAACAGUUUCCCCAAAAGCAUCAGUCACGUGACUUGGCUGUCACCUUGGAGUGUCCUAAACUUUUCGGAGAAGAAGGACCAUUUGAAUUUCUGCUUCCAGACUGCUCCAGCCUGCACACCCUCUCCCUCCUGACCCCAUGGGGGCAUUUAUUCCUUCACUCAUUCCACAAAGUAAGCGGGGACCUGCGAGUGGCCAGGCACUGUCCCAAGCGCAGGUGUGGUUCUGGUGGCUCCUAAGCUCAGUGUAAAUCCCAGAGGCUCCCCCUCCACUCAGCUGCGCAAUGAGAAGGAGCCUGGCAACUCCAGGGUGGGGAGACCUGAGCCCCAUCUGACUCCAAGCACCCUGUCUCCCACUCCAACCCCCAAGCUGGCCUGUGUCUGGAUGGGCCUUGUGCUGUCCUCGAGAUAGUCACUCCAUUUUUCCAUCCUUUCCAAGAAAAUAAGAGGACCCUUUCCCAGCAGGCCCAGAC